GGCGAAGAAUCUGGGAAAUAAUCGCAACCUAAAGAUCUCAAGUUGUGGAUUCGACGGGAUAUUUGAACAGAAUACCGUCGAGGAUAUGAUGGAGAUGGUGUGGAUAGGACUGUGUCUUCAGCUCCUCCUCUGCCAGACAUGGGCCAGUCUUCAUACCAUCCCUUACACCAUGUACUCCAUGCUCAAACAGCCCUCAGGUCCCUGGAUGAGCCAGUGAGGGUUGACCCCUGCUGUCUCUUGGCCCUCCCCCACCCCCACUCUUCCUCCACCUACCCUGCUCUGGAAGCGACGGACUGCGGUGAGGUUAUACACACAC